rnacentral:rRNA from 1 species
UCACACAGGAAACUUAGAGUUUGAUCCUGGCUCAGGAUGAACGCUGGCGGCGUGCUUAACACAUGCAAGUCGAACGGUGAAAGAGGAGCUUGCUCCUCUGGAUCAGUGGCGAACGGGUGAGUAACACGUGAGAAAUGUGCCCUGGACUCUGGGAUAAGCGUUGGAAACGACGUCUAAUACCGGAUACGCGACGCGAAGGCAUCUUCAGCGUCGGGAAAGAACUUCGGUCCAGGAUCAUCUCGCGGCCUAUCAGCUAGUUGGUGAGGUAACGGCCCACCAAGGCGACGACGGGUAGCCGGCCUGAGAGGGUGACCGGCCACACUGGGACUGAGACACGGCCCAGACUCCUACGGGAGGCAGCAGUGGGGAAUAUUGGACAAUGGGCGGAAGCCUGAUCCAGCAACGCCGCGUGAGGGAUGACGGCCUUCGGGUUGUAAACCUCUUUCAGCACAGACGAAGCGCCUGUGAAGGUGGUGACGGUAUGUGCAGAAGAAGCACCGGCCAACUACGUGCCAGCAGCCGCGGUACGC